GACGAACGCUGGCGGCGUGCUUAACACAUGCAAGUCGAACGAGACGAUUGAAAGCUUGCUUCUAAAAGUCGAGUGGCAAACGGGUGAGUAACGCGUAGACAACCUGCCUUUGAGAUGGGGACAACAGUUCGAAAGGACUGCUAAUACCGAAUGUUGUAUAUUUUCCACAUGGAAGAUAUAUUAAAGAUGGCCUCUAUUUAUAAGCUAUCGCUCAAAGAUGGGUCUGCGUCUGAUUAGCUGGUUGGUGGGGUAACGGCCUACCAAGGCGACGAUAAGUAGCCGGUCUGAGAGGAUGAACGGCCACAUUGGGACUGAGACACGGCCCAGACUCCUACGGGAGGCAGCAGUGGGGAAUCUUCCACAAUGGACGAAAGUCUGAUGGAGCAACGCCGCGUGAGUGAAGAAGGGUUUCGGCUCGUAAAGCUCUGUUGUCGGGGACGAAUGUGCAGUAUUUGAAUAAAGUACUGCAAUGACGGUACCUGACGAGGAAGCCACGGCUAACUACGUGCCAGCAGCCGCCGUAA
rnacentral:rRNA from 1 species